AUUGAACGCUGGCGGCAGGCCUAACACAUGCAAGUCGAACGAGUGGCGGACGGGUGAGUAAUUUCUGGGCAACUGCCCGAUGGAGGGGGAUAACUACUGGAAACGGUAGCUAAUACCGCAUACCAUCGGAUGUGCCCAGAUGGGAUUAGCUAGUCGGGGGGGUAAUGGCUCACCUAGGCGACGAGCCCUAGCUGGUCUGAGAGGAUGACCAGCCACACUGGAACUGAGACACGGUCCGGACUCCUACGGGAGGCAGCAGUGGGGAAUAUUGCACAAUGGGCGAAAGCCUGAUGCAGCCAUGCCGCGUGUGUGAAGAAGGCCUUCGGGUUGUAAAGUCCUUUCAGCGGGGAGGCGUUACCCGCAGAGGAAGCACCGGCUAACUCCGUGCCAGCAGCCGCGGUAAUUC
rnacentral:rRNA from 1 species